rnacentral:misc_RNA from 1 species
UCUCCGUAGGUGAACCUGCGGAGGGAUCAUUACUGAGUGAGGGCCUUCGGGCUCGACCUCCAACCCUUUGUGAACACAACUUGUUGCUUCGGGGGCGACCCUGCCGUUUCGACGGCGAGCGCCCCCGGAGGCCUUCAAACACUGCAUCUUUGCGUCUGAGUAAAUAUUGAAUCAAUCAAAACUUUCAACAACGGAUCUCUUGGUUCUGGCAUCGAUGAAGAACGCAGC